rnacentral:lncRNA from 13 species
AUUCAUAAUGUUGUUUUCCUAGUUUUCUCUGAUACCCCUCAGCCCAAUUGUUACAUAUUCAGUAAUGACUAAGCGAAGUUAAUUCUGUUUCCUAAAUAUGUUACUCAGUUGUCCUCAUCACUCUGCUUAUCAUGUCACUGCUUGACUUUAUUCCCAUCUUCCCUCUUAUCUAGACCAAGGGAGGAGGCAACGGGCAGAGAGGAGGGAACAGAACAAUGUCCACGUGGCUGAAAUAAAGGAUAUGACAGAGGAUUGGUGCAAGUUAAAGAUGGAAGUGGAGAUCUGUGGAGAAGGGCCUUGCAAGGAAGAGAACUUCAAGAGUUUGAUUCCAAGUUUCUCCAUUUGUGUAAGCUGCAGAGUAGUCAUUGGCUUUCCCCUAUUAGAGAGUUGGCUUCCAUCACAUUUAGUCUAAAUCCCUGCAGACUUCUAGUUCCAAGCAUCUUAUAAAUACUACACUAAUGAAUUCUGCAACUCCAUUUCUUUUCAGUAUUUCUGUUUAAACUAUACUAAAUUCUUACCACUUAGCUUGUUACAAUAUGCCUGUAAGAUGAUUUAACUAGAUUGGUUUUCAAAAAUAAACUAAAUUUGAACCCUCA